GAGUGGAGAAGACCUGUGGCUUCAGCUGCAGCUGGAGUGCCUGUCCUGCCUCCUCGGAUAUUGUUUCUAAUUCAUGUUUCCCUUUUUUCCAAGGUGUUCUCCCCACACUGGGGCUCCCACUACUGCAAGGAGUGACCCACGAAGGCCACAGAGAUGGCUGGGGCUUCGGUGAAGGUGGCGGUGCGGGUCCGCCCCUUCAAUUCCGGGAAAUGAGCCGUGACUCCAAGUGCAUCAUUCAGAUGUCUGGAAGCACCACCACCAUCGUUAACCCCAAACAGCCCAAGGAGACACCCAAAAGCUUCAGCUUUGACUACUCCUACUGGUCGCACACGUCGCCCGAGGACAUCAACUACGCGUCGCAGAAGCAGGUGUACCGGGACAUCGGCGAGGAGAUGCUGCAGCAUGCCUUUGAGGGCUACAACGUGUGCAUCUUCGCCUACGGGCAGACGGGUGCCGGCAAAUCCUACACCAUGAUGGGCAAGCAGGAGAAGGACCAGCAGGGCAUCAUCCCACAGCUCUGCGAGGACCUCUUCUCUCGGAUCAACGACACGACCAAUGACAACAUGUCCUACUCCGUGGAGGUCAGCUACAUGGAGAUUUACUGUGAGCGCGUCCGUGACCUCCUGAACCCCAAGAACAAGGGCAACCUUCGCGUGAGGGAGCACCCACUGCUGGGGCCCUACGUGGAGGACCUCUCCAAGCUGGCUGUCACCUCCUACAAUGACAUCCAGGACCUCAUGGACUCAGGGAACAAGGCCAGGACCGUGGCGGCCACCAACAUGAAUGAGACCAGCAGCCGCUCCCAUGCCGUCUUCAACAUCAUCUUCACCCAGAAGCGCCAUGAUGCAGAGACCAACAUCACCACGGAGAAGGUGAGCAAAAUCAGCCUGGUGGACCUGGCUGGGAGUGAGCGGGCCGACUCCACAGGAGCCAAGGGCACGCGCCUCAAGGUAGGGGCCAGGCCGCCAUGCGGGGACUGCAAUGGGCCCCGUGUCCACACCUGGCCUGCUCCAGG